CAGAACAAACCUUACCAGUGGCUUUACAGGAAGAGCAAGAAAGGUGUGAAAGAAGUGAAAAGAAGCAACCACAGGUCAAAGAAGGAAAUAAUACAAAUAAAAGUGAAAAAAUACAACUAUCAGAAAAUGUAUGUCAUAGUACAUCUUCUGCUGCUGCUGACAGAUUAACCAAACAAAGAAAGAUUGGGAAAAUGUAUCCUCAGCAAUUUCCCAAGAAACUGAAGGAAGAGCACGAUAGAUGCAUCUUAAGACAAGAAAAUGAAGAAAAAACAAAUGUUAAUAUGCUGUACAAAAAUAGAGAAG
rnacentral:lncRNA from 1 species